rnacentral:rRNA from 1 species
UACGUAGGGGGCAAGCGUUGUCCGGAUUUAUUGGGCGUAAAGAGCGUGUAGGCGGCCAGGUAGGUCCGCUGUGAAAACUCGAGGCUCAACCUCGAGAUGUCGGCGGAAACCAUCUGGCUAGAGUCCGGAAGAGGAAAGUGGAAUUCCCGGUGUAGCGGUGAAAUCGCAGAUAUCGGGAAGAACACCCGUGGCGAAAGGCGGCUUUCUGGGGACGG